CUAAUCUUAGGGUGUGUGUGGUUCGAAGUCGGAAUCGGAAUCGGAAUCGCAAUCAAAAUAAGCUGGAAUCGGAAUCGGAAUUACUCAUUACUUAAUUCUAUUUGGUUCAUCACCUGAAUCGGAAUUGGAAUAAACCACUCCCAUUGUCGGUGUUUGAUUCAGGUGGAUAUAAAAAACGUAAUCAAAUUAAUAUACUAACAUUAUCUUUAUAAUAUAUUAAUUUAAAUUCAAAUUAAAAAUUAAAUAUUAAAAAUUUAC
rnacentral:lncRNA from 1 species